rnacentral:rRNA from 1 species
UUCCGGUUGAUCCCGCCGGAGGCUACCGCUAUUGGAGUUCGAUUAAGCCAUGCGAGUCGAGAGUCUUAGGGACUCGGCGCACCGCUCAGUAACACGUGGGUAACCUGCCCUAUGCUGGGGGAUAACCUCGGGAAACUGAGAAUAAUACCCCAUAGUUCACCACGCCUGGAACGGUGGGUGGACCAAAGCUCCGGCGGCAUAGGAUGGGCCUGCGACGUAUCAGGUUGUAGGGGGUGUAACGUACCCUCUAGCCAUCAACGCGUACGGGUGUUGGGAGACAUAGCCCGGAGAUGGAUUCUGAGACACGAAUCCAGACCCUACGGGGUGCAGCAGGCGCGAAAACUUGGCAAUGCGAGCAAUCGUGACCAGGGAACUCCAAGUGGCUGGGGUAAUACCCAGUUUUUUCUUGACUCUUCAAAGGUCUUGGAAUAAGGGGUGGGUAAGGACGGUGCCAGCCGCCGCGGUAAUACCGGCGCCUCAAGUGGUAGUCGCUUUUAUUGGGCCUAAAACGUCCGUAGCCGGUCUGGUACAUUCGUGGGUAAAUCAACCCGCUCAACGGGUUGAAUUCUGCGAGCACGGCCAGACUUGGGACCGGGAGAGGUGUGGGGUACUCUCAGGGUAGGGGUAAAAUCCUGUCAUCCUGAGAGGACCACCUGUUGCGAAGGCGCCACACUAGAACGGAUUCGACGGUCAGGGACGAAACCUAGGGGCACGAACCGGAUUAGAUACCCGGGUAGUCCUAGGUGUAAACGCUGUGGACUUGAUGUUGGGGGCGCUCCGAGCGCUUUCAGUGUCGAAGCGAAGGUGAUAAGUCCACUGCCUGGGGAGUACGGUCGCAAGGCUGAAACUUAAAGGAAUUGGCGGGGGAGCACUGCAACCUGAGGAUUGUGCGGUUUAAUUGGAUUCAACGCCGG